UCCUAAAUAACCUUUUCAUCUUUCUCCUCUCAAACUCUCAUUUGUUUCUAACAAGACCUCAACCAAGUCAUCGAUUCUCUCCCCUCCCAUUCUACUACAACACGAAUUUCCCCCUCAUACCUUCGGACAAUAGCAAUUUCGAUGAUCUUCAACCUUCCCUUUUGCCUUUUCUGCUUCUCCCAUCAAUAUUGCAGCUCCUCCAUUAACUUUAUAUCACUUCCAUCACUUUUUUUAUCCAAAAUUAGACCCCCAAAGAAAUACUCCAUCUCCUCUGCACUUAUGGAGAAAGUUAAUGGAGUGAAGAAUCACCGGAUUUGAGGUUGUUAUUCCUCAAAUCUGAUGGUUCUAAGUCUUUUUGAAGCAACCCUUUUCCCUUUUCACAUCAACCUGGAAAGGUAAGAAAAUAAGUCUUUCUCUUCUUCCAAAUUCGUCCCUCUAUUUUUUUCUAUGAUAUGUGCUUCAAAAGAAUUUAAGUUUUUAAUUCUUGAGGCCUCACUUAACAACCAUUGCAACCCCUCUCAAUUUCAGCUAAAAAGGAGCCUUUGGACUCCCGUUUUGAUCAAUCAAGAAUUAUCAGAAAUUAUAAAAAAUAGCACCAAAUAUUAGUUCAUGCAACUAUUUCUCUUGCUCUCUUGUUGAGUUUGAAGUUCAGGUUUGAGUUUAAAUCUUCGACGAGGAAGCCCUAAUUCACUGCUCCACACAAGAGCGCAUUCGGGGUCUGAUGACUUGGAGUCUGUCUCUGUCCAAAUCAGAGAAGCAAAUAAUAAUUGCAUUAGGAAACUAGGUUUUGGAGCAUGAGUAGAAGGCCACAAAAAACCCCACUUAUAAGACCACCUACGGGGCCGUAAGUGGCCUUGUAAGUCUCAGAGGUGGCAAGAUCUGAGAUGCUGAAAGUUGAGUUAGGUUCUGACAUUGAUGAAGGGCUAUUUACGGCGCAUAAGUAUCACUUACGAUGUCGACAUAAGUACCACUUACUCCGCCAUAAGUUCCAUCCUGGGUUGCAUUCAGAAGGCUGAAGAUGUCCUAUCACUUAAGAACCACUGAGGGGCCUGUAAGUACCCCUUACAUCCUCUAAGUGGGUCCGUAAUGACCAC